UACGAAGGGGGCUAGCGUUGCUCGGAAUCACUGGGCGUAAAGGGUGCGUAGGCGGGUCUUUAAGUCAGGGGUGAAAUCCUGGAGCUCAACUCCAGAACUGCCUUUGAUACUGAAGAUCUUGAGUUCGGGAGAGGUGAGUGGAACUGCGAGUGUAGAGGUGAAAUUCGUAGAUAUUCGCAAGAACACCAGUGGCGAAGGCGGCUCGCUGGGCUUUUUCUGACGCUGAGGUGCGAAAGCGUGGGGAGCGAACAGG
rnacentral:rRNA from 1 species